CUGAAGUCUAUGUUUAUCUCCUUAUUAAAUUGGGUUUCCGGAGCUUCUAUAUUUUUCUUUUGAAUUUAGAUUAAGCAUCCUAGAUUCUUCUUUUGUAACGACAUUUUCUUUGGUUUCAUGCUUGCAUAAUGCCCAUGUGCUUCUAACUCAUAAAUGCCCAUGUACUUCCAGAUUGCAUGCAUGCUUGCUCCAUGACAUUUUGCUUAUGUCAUGAAACUCAUUUUCUUGCUCAAUUAAUUUAUCUCUAUGACAUCUUAUUUAUGUCAUGAAGGUUAACUCUUUAUUUAAUUACUUUGGCUCCAUGACAUCUUACUUAUGUCAUGGAGCUCAAUUCUUGGCUCAAUUACUUUAGUUUUAUGAUAUCUUUCUUAUAUCAUACUUCUUACUUGCAUGCUUUCUUGUUUUUCUCUAGCAUAUUUUCGCAUGCAUGCUCUCUCGGCUUCUUGCUUGCAUGCUGUCUCGCUUUCUCCUAACAAUAUCAUUAUAGUCCUUUGGAUUUAAAUAUUUUAAUCUUCGCCAUUGAUUUAAUUAAGUGAAUAAAUAACUAACUACUUAAUAAUUAAUAGAUAAUAUUCAAGUUCAUGGAUAUAAUU
rnacentral:lncRNA from 1 species